rnacentral:pre_miRNA from 16 species
CCUGUAUUCCACUCUUCGGAGCCCGACUUUUCGGUUCUUUGAAACCGGAACAAGGUUAAAUGGGUUACAAAGUAUCAGAAAAGUCGCGCUCUGAGAAUUUUGGGUUA